AUUGAACGCUGGCGGCAGGCCUAACACAUGCAAGUCGAGCGGAUGAAGGGAGCUUGCUCCUGGAUUCAGCGGCGGACGGGUGAGUAAUGCCUAGGAAUCUGCCUGGUAGUGGGGGAUAACGUCCGGAAACGGGCGCUAAUACCGCAUACGUCCUGAGGGAGAAAGUGGGGGAUCUUCGGACCUCACGCUAUCAGAUGAGCCUAGGUCGGAUUAGCUAGUUGGUGGGGUAAAGGCCUACCAAGGCGACGAUCCGUAACUGGUCUGAGAGGCUGAGCAGUCACCCUGGAGCUGAGCCACGGUCCAGACUCCUACGGGAGGCAGCAGUGGGGAAUAUUGGACAAUGGGCGAGAGCCUGAUCCAGCCGUGCCGCGUGUGUGAAGAAGGUCUUCGGAUUGUAAAGCACGUUAAGUUGGGAGGAAGGGCAGUAAGUUAAUACCUUGCUGUUUUGACGUUACCAACAGAAGAAGCACCGGCUAACUUCGUG
rnacentral:rRNA from 1 species